UUCGGACUGGAGUCUGCAACCCGACUCCACGAAGCUGGAUUCGCUAGUAAUCGCGCAUCAGCCACGGCGCGGUGAAUACGUUCCCGGGCCUUGUACACACCGCCCGUCAAGCCAUGGGAGCCGGGGGUACCUGAAGUGCGUAACCGCGAGGAUCGCCCUAGGGUAAAACUGGUGACUGGGGCUAAGUCGUAACAAGGUACC
rnacentral:rRNA from 1 species